UCCGAUCUACCGAACUCGAUAUACAUACAAUACGGUGCAAUGCGGUAUACCAGAUCAAGCGUGUAGCUUGCACACAUAAGAAGAGCUUUUUUUCUCUCGUUUGAUCUUUCGUAUUCUUUCCUCGCUAGUUUAUAAUCGAACAACGGGGAGCUAACCUAGGAUGUUGGAUUCGUGAGUUGUCUGCGAUCGAUAUUUUUAUACUUAAAUAGUAUCUAUCAUUCGUAAUUGUAAGAAGAAAACAUCUACGAUGGACAUUAUUGCAGAGAAGUAUACAAAAGAGCAAGGAAGAUAAAUUCUUUUAGAAGCGAAAAGGGAGUACCAAGAGGGUACAAGGAGGACAACGGGAAGACAACCAGGCGGGUACCCGUCGAGGAAGUAUGGAGUCGUCCUUUCCCGGGCAAAGGUACCUUUUUGCCCUGCGAAAUGGCCCAGAGAAUGUCAUCCAAUGAGGGUGAAGUAAGGGGAAAACAA
rnacentral:lncRNA from 1 species